GGCCAGACUCCUACGGGAGGCAGCAGUGGGGAAUAUUGCGCAAUGGGGGAAACCCUGACGCAGCAACGCCGCGUGAGUGAAGAAGUAUCUCGGUAUGUAAAGCUCUAUCAGCGGGGAAGAAGGAAGACGGUACCCGACUAAGAAGCCCCGGCUAACUACGUGCCAGCAGCCGCGGUAAUACGUAGGGGGCAAGCGUUAUCCGGAUUUACUGGGUGUAAAGGGAGCGUAGACGGCAGUGCAAGUCUGGAGUGAAAGGCGGGGGCUCAACCCCCGGACUGCUCUGGAAACUGUACGGCUGGAGUGCAGGAGAGGUAAGUGGAAUUCCUAGUGUAGCGGUGAAAUGCGUAGAUAUUAGGAGGAACACCAGUGGCGAAGGCGGCUUACUGGACUGUAACUGACGUUGAGGCUCGAAAGCGUGGGGAGCAAACAGGAUUAGAUACCCGUGUAC
rnacentral:rRNA from 1 species